GAUGAACGCUGACAGAAUGCUUAACACAUGCAAGUCAACUUGAAUUUGGGUUUUUAACUUAGGUUUGGGUGGCGGACGGGUGAGUAACGCGUAAAGAACUUGCCUCACAGCUAGGGACAACAUUUGGAAACGAAUGCUAAUACCUAAUAUUAUGAUAAUAGGGCAUCCUAUAAUUAUGAAAGCUAUAAGCGCUGUGAGAGAGCUUUGCGUCCCAUUAGCUAGUUGGAGAGGUAACGGCUCACCAAGGCGAUGAUGGGUAGCCGGCCUGAGAGGGUGAUCGGCCACAAGGGAACUGGGACACGGCCCUUACCCCAACGGGAGGCGGCGGGGGGGAAAAUUGAACAAGGGAGCAAGCGUCUGAUCGAGCAGUUGUGUGUGCACGAUGAAGCUUUUCGGAGUAUAAAGUGCUUUCAGUUGAGAAGAAGGAAAUGACGGUACCAGCAGAAGAAGUGACGGCUAAAUACGUG
rnacentral:rRNA from 1 species